GACGAACGCUGGCGGUGUGCUUAACACAUGCAAGUCGAACGGUAAGGCCCUUUCGGGGGUCCACGAGUGGCGAACGGGUGAGUAACACGUGAGUAACCUGCCCUCAUCUCUGGGAUAACAGUCGGAAACGGUUGCUAAUACUGGAUAUGAGCCUGCACGGCAUCUUGUGGGUUGGAAAGAUUUUUUGGUUGGGGAUGGACUCGCGUCCUAUCUGCUUGUUGGUGUGGUAGUGGCUCACCAAGGCUUCGACGGGUAGCCGGCCUGAGAGGGCGACCGGCCACAUUGGGACUUAGAUACGGCCCAAGCUCCUACGUGAGGCAGAAGGGGGGAAGAUUGCACAAGGGACGGAGGUCGGGUGCAGCAACGCCGCGUGCGGUAGGACGGCCUUCGGGUUGUAAACCGCUUUCAAUUGUGACGAAGCUUUUUGUGACGGUAGCAGAAGAAGAAGCACCGGCUAACUACGUG
rnacentral:rRNA from 1 species